rnacentral:rRNA from 1 species
AUGAAAAUGAGACAUCUUUAUUGUCAAGUUUAUAGUCAUCAAGUGGUCCUACAUUUCCUGAUUGUUUGUGUGUUCCCGCUUGAUUUGUGUACCACAAUAGAUAAUCUGAUUUUGAUUUAUCCGAGGAUUUGUCCCAGUUCAACUCAGCAUUUUACCAACAUCAGAUCUCUCUGUGGUCCUUUGAUCAUAGUUUUAUUUGCUUUUAUGCACCAGGUUUAUCAUUUAGCAUUUCUCAUUCAUUGGCCCUUAAAACAUACUCCCUCCGUCAGGAAAUACUUGUCUUCAAAAUGGAUAAAAGAAGAUGUAUCUAGAUGUAUUUUAGUUGUACAUACAUCUCUUUUUAUCCAUUUUGAUGACAAGUAUUUUCGGAUGGAGGGAGUAUAUUAG